rnacentral:rRNA from 1 species
AACGAACGCUGGCGGCAGGCUUAACACAUGCAAGUCGAGCGCUCCGCAAGGGGAUCGGCAGACGGGUGAGUAACGCGUGGGAACGUACCCUUUGCUACGGAAUAGCUCCGGGAAACUGGAAUUAAUACCGUAUGUGCCCUACGGGGGAAAGAUUUAUCGGCAAAGGAUCGGCCCGCGUUGGAUUAGCUAGUUGGUGGGGUAAUGGCCUACCAAGGCGACGAUCCAUAGCUGGUCUGAGAGGAGGAUCAGCCACAUUGGGACUGAGACACGGCCCAAACUCCUACGGGAGGCAGCAGUGGGAAUAUUGGACAAUGGGCGCAAGCCUGAUCCAGCCAUGCCGCGUGAGUGAUGAAGGCCUUAGGGUUGUAAAGCACUUUCACCGGAGAAGAUAAUGACGGUAUCCGGAGAAGAAGCCCCGGCUAACUUCGUGCCAGCCGCCGCAGUAAGAC